rnacentral:rRNA from 1 species
GUUGUAUAGUCAAGUAAUUAAGUGCAUGUGGUGGAUGCCUUGGCAGUCAGAGGCGAUGAAAGACGUGAUAGCCUGCGAAAAGCUCCGGGGAGGCGGCAAAUAUCCUUUGAUCCGGAGAUGUCUGAAUGGGGGAACCCACCUACUUUAAGGUAGGUAUUGCAACAUGAAUACAUAGUGUUGCAAGGCGAACGAGGGGAAGUGAAACAUCUCAGUACCCUUAGGAAAAGAAAUCAAUUGAGAUUCCCUCAGUAGCGGCGAGCGAACGGGGAUCAGCCCAUUAAGUUAUGUGUGUUUUAGUGGAACGCUCUGGGAAGUGCGAACGUAGAGGGUGAUAUUCCCGUACACGAAAGGGCACACAUAAUGAUGACGAGUAGGGCGAGGCACGUGAAACCUUGUCUGAAUAUGGGGGGACCAUCCUCCAAGGCUAAAUACUCCUGACUGACCGAUAGUGAACCAGUACCGUGAGGGAAAGGCGAAAAGAACCCCUGUGAGGGGAGUGAAAUAGAUCCUGAAACCGCAUGCAUACAAGCAGUGGGAGCACCUUCGUGGUGUGACUGCGUACCUUUUGUAUAAUGGGUCAGCGACUUAUAUUCAGUAGCAAGGUUAACCGUAUAGGGGAGCCGUAGAGAAAUCGAGUCUUAAUAGGGCGUUUAGUUGCUGGGUAUAGACCCGAAACCAGGCGAUCUAUCCAUGAGCAGGUUGAAGGUUGGGUAACACUAACUGGAGGACCGAACCCACUGUCGUUGAAAAGCCAGGGGAUGACUUGUGGAUAGGGGUGAAAGGCUAAUCAAGCCUGGUGAUAGCUGGUUCUCCCCGAAAGCUAUUUAGGUAGCGCCUCGGACGAAUACCAUAGGGGGUAGAGCACUGUUUCGGCUAGGGGGUCAUCCCGACUUACCAAACCGAUGCAAACUCCGAAUACCUAUGAGUACUAUCCGGGAGACAGACUGCGGGUGCUAACGUCCGUAGUCAAGAGGAAAACAAUCCAGACCGCCAGCUAAGGCCCCAAAAUCAUAGUUAAGUGGGAAACGAUGUGGGAAGGCAUAGACAGCUAGGAGGUUGGCUUAGAAGCAGCCACCCUUUAAAGAAAGCGUAAUAGCUCACUAGUCGAGUCGGCCUGCGCGGAAGAUGUAACGGGGCUAAAACUAUGUGCCGAAGCUGCGGAUNNNNNNNNNNNNNNNNNNNNNNNNNNAUGCUGGAGGUAUCAGAAGUGCGAAUGCUGACGUGAGUAACGACAAAACGGGUGAAAAACCCGUUCGCCGAAAGACCAAGGGUUCCAGUCCAACGUUAAUCGGGGCUGGGUGAGUCGACCCCUAAGGCGAGGCCGAAAGGCGUAGUCGAUGGGAAAAUGGUUAAUAUUCCAUUACUUCUGUGUAAUGCGAUGAGAGGACGGAGAAGGCUAAAUCAGCCUGGCGUUGGUUGUCCAGGUGAAAGGAUGUAGGCAUGUAUCUUAGGCAAAUCCGGGGUACUCUAUGCUGAGAUCUGAUAGCAAGCUGUACUUGUACAGCGAAGUGGUUGAUGCCAUGCUUCCAGGAAAAGUCUCUAAGCUUCAGUUACACAGGAAUCGUACCCGAAACCGACACAGGUGGUCAGGUCGAGUAGACCAAGGCGCUUGAGAGAACUCUGCUGAAGGAACUAGGCAAAAUGGUACCGUAACUUCGGGAGAAGGUACGCUGUUGUUGGUGAUGGAACUCGCUUCCUGAGCUGACGACAGCCGCAGAAACCAGGCCGCUGCAACUGUUUAUUAAAAACAUAGCACUCUGCAAACACGAAAGUGGACGUAUAGGGUGUGAUGCCUGCCCGGUGCUGGAAGGUUAAUUGAUGGGGUUAGCGUAAGCGAAGCUCUUGAUCGAAGCCCCAGUAAACGGCGGCCGUAACUAUAACGGUCCUAAGGUAGCGAAAUUCCUUGUCGGGUAAGUUCCGACCUGCACGAAUGGCAUAAUGAUGGCGGCGCUGUCUCCAGCAGAGGCUCAGUGAAAUCGAAAUCGCUGUGAAGAUGCAGUGUACCCGCGGCUAGACGGAAAGACCCCGUGAACCUUUACUGCAGCUUGACACUGAACUUUGACCUUACUUGUGUAGGAUAGGUGGGAGGCUUUGAAGCUGGAACGCUAGUUCCAGUGGAGCCGUCCUUGAAAUACCACCCUGGUAAUGUUGAGGUUCUAACUCUGUCCCGUGAUCCGGGACGAGGACCGUGUCUGGUGGGUAGUUUGACUGGGGCGGUCUCCUCCUAAAGAGUAACGGAGGAGUACGAAGGUGCGCUCAGCGUGGUCGGAAAUCACGCGUAGAGUAUAAAGGCAAAAGCGCGCUUAACUGCGAGACCCACAAGUCGAGCAGGUACGAAAGUAGGUCUUAGUGAUCCGGUGGUUCUGUAUGGAAGGGCCAUCGCUCAACGGAUAAAAGGUACUCUGGGGAUAACAGGCUGAUACCGCCCAAGAGUUCAUAUCGACGGCGGUGUUUGGCACCUCGAUGUCGGCUCAUCUCAUCCUGGGGCUGAAGCAGGUCCCAAGGGUAUGGCUGUUCGCCAUUUAAAGAGGUACGCGAGCUGGGUUUAGAACGUCGUGAGACAGUUCGGUCCCUAUCUACCGUGGGCGCUGGAAAUUUGAGAGGAUCUGCUCCUAGUACGAGAGGACCAGAGUGGACGAACCUCUGGUGUACCGGUUGUGACGCCAGUCGCAUCGCCGGGUAGCUAUGUUCGGAAGGGAUAACCGCUGAAAGCAUCUAAGCGGGAAGCCUACCUCAAGAUAAGAUUUCCCUAGGACUUUAUGUCCUCUAAAGAGCCGUUCGAGACUAGGACGUUGAUAGGUUGGAUGUGGAAGCAUAGUGAUAUGUGAAGCUGACCAAUACUAAUUGCUCGUGAGGCUUGACUAUACAACACCCAAGCAGUUG